AUUUCAAAUCACUGAUGAAGCCUACUACUACUAGUGUGUCGUUUCUAGAUGUUUGGAGAGGGAAAAAAGAGGCUAAAAAAAGAUAGGCAAAGGACUCUCUGUGCAUAUAACAAGUUACAAGACAAUCUAAUAAUUACAACUUACGAAUUUGUCAAAAAUUGCAACUAUUUUUUACUAUGCAAAUUAAUAAGGUUGGAGAAAGAGGAAUAAAGUUUGGAACCGAAAAGAGUGGAUUGAAGGCAUGGGGAACGGUUGGUGGUGGUAGUGUCAAGCCACCACCAGUGUGAAGGUUAUUUCUUAGUCAUUUCAUCCAUCACCUUCUUCACUCUUCUCUUGUUGCUUCUCAACAACAAAAACAAACAUAAAUAUUAUGGCAAAACAACAAAGAAGAACCUCGGUUUUCCUAAAAAAAAAACUGAUACACAAGCAUAACCAUAUGGGGACUGGAGACUUCUAUGAUAUGGAUAGUAAAAACAAUCCACACAUAUGGAUAGUAUGUGUCAAGACUAUCAACUACAGUUUUGCAACACGUGGCAUUAGUGUCUUUUGACUUUUAGACCUUUUGCAGAAAGGAUGUGCAGUAACGUAGAGGGUGGCAGUUGAUGUGCAGAAUGUAUUGCACAAUAGAGUUGAUUAAAAGUGGGAUUAAGUCUAAUGAUUUUUGUGUUUUUUUUAUUGGUUCACCGUAAGUGCUCCCUUCUUUUGUGGAUUCAGACCUAAUGGUAGAAAAUGCUUGAUUUUGGGCAUGGAUUGAGAUUUUUUUUUUUUUUUGUGGUUUUGUGAAAAAUUGUUAUCUUCUAUUUGAUCUCAGGAACAUGUAGCUACUUUUCAUGACCAUGACGAUGCCGAAUUGCCAAAUCGCUUUCUUCAGUUGGCUACCUCAAACCUUUCGCAGGUGUGUUAAUUUUCUAUAUCAUGUUCUGUUAAUAUUUUUAGAAUAUUGGAUCGGAUUAGUUUAAGGUCUGAUUUAUCAGUUUUCCGGUCGAAUGUUCAGUCCAAUUUUAAUAAUUAUAGUCUAAGAUAUGUCACCACAAAUCUACAAGUUUAAAUAAUUUUUGGUAUUCAUACCAUAGUCACUUCCUAAAAAAUAUUAAAUAUUUUUAGUGGCAAAUAUUAAUUUGUUUUGCAAAUACCAAAGAGAAUAGUAAUCGUCCGUUACUUUCUAAAUACUAUAAUAACAUUUUUAAUUUCUUUUUUCAAUUUUGGUUUUAAUUUGUUAUUGCUUUCCUGUAUUUUAAGUUAAUUAGUUUGGUCAUAUUUAUUUGAAAGUACCAAAAAUAUGAAUAAGAACUAAAACUCUUAUAUUUUUUGUUUCAUUUGAUUUCAGCAUCGAUUACUUGAUUCAUUUUCCAAGAUAAAUCCCUCUCUCCAGAUCCAAUAUCUCAACUUCUCUAGAGGUGUGUUAAUCUUUUGUAAUAUAUUAUAAUUUCAUAAAUAUUAUAGUAUAGAUAAAUAUAAAUUUAUCAAAUGAUAAGAAAUGAUAUCAUAUUCUGUUAACACUUUAAGAAUGUUGGACCUAAUUAAUUUAGAAUUUGAUUCACCGAUUUUUUAAUCGAACCGGUCGAUACGGUAUAGUUUUAAUAACUAUGUUCUAUGCCAGUGCCACUACAUAGUUUUUUUCCUUUCUAAAUACUAAGAAAUAUUAUGUUUUUAUUUUUAAUUUUAGUUUUAAUUUGUUAUUGCUUUUCUAAGUCAUGUUCUUUAAAAAUUCUAAUAUUUUCAAUUUUAUUCUUAACGUUUUUAAUUUGUGUCAAAAUUACCUAGACGUUAACUUGACGUAAAUUGUUAAGGAUAAAAUUGAAAAUUUUUAAUGAUAGUUUUGACACAAAUCGAAAAUAUUAUAGGCAAAAUUGAAUGAAUAAAAAAUGCUAGAUACAAAAUUGAAUAAAAUUUUAUGUUUGGAGUAUUUUUUUAAAAAGAUUGUAAAUAUUAGAGACAAAAAAUAUAUUUUAUCCUUAAAAAUUAAUGGUUCAAAAUAAAAGAUUAAUAAACACAUAGUUAACAUAUUUUUUUAGAUAUAAUUAAGAUAUGACUCUUUUUAACAUUACUAUUUACAUAUUUCUAAUUUAUUUGUUAUAAAAAUUAUUAUUUAAUUACUAAUUAUUUGUUAACUCUAUUUAAUUUCAGGGACAUGAUGACAGUGACCCACCCUUAUCUCCUAUCCCUCCUUUUAUUAGGGUGAAAAAGAAAUGUAUUGGGUUACCUUUACUAGGUCUUUUAUUCUGUUUUUUGUUUGAGAUUUUAGUUUACAUGAUCGGGAAGUUUAAGGAUAAGUCUAAUAAGGGUAAUUCUAUAAAGAAGUUUGUGGUAAUUGUGAAUGCCAUCUAUUUCAUAGUAGUUACUCUAAGUACAAUAGGAUAUGGGAAUAUUACCCCUAGUUCUAAAUCUGGUAAAAUCGGAACUAUGGUUUUAGCUCUUUUGUGUCCUGUGGUUUCUAAUAUUCUUGAAAGCUACCUGAAAUACAUUCUUAGAAAAUUAGAAACGUGCUUAGUUAAAAAGUUAGAAGGAGGCAUGUUAGAUUGUUUGGUAGUUAACCAUAAAAUAGUUUAUUGGGCAAAAUUUUUCUUAGCGGUUCUUGCUGGCCCGUUUGUCUUUAGCAUCGGAGCAGUCAUAGUCCAUCGUUCAGAGCAAAUGAAUUGGUUAGAUAGUUUUUAUUUUUCUGUGAUUUCCAUAACAACAGUAGGUUUUGGAGAUUACUCUUUUAGAACGCUAGUAGGAAAGUGUGUUGCAUGUAUUUGGUUUUUAUUUAGUUCUGUUAUUUAUAGUUUUGCAAUUUUAUUUCUGAUUAAUUGUAUUCUUAGGCCAAUUACUCCUCAAAAUGAAUGAAUUGUAUUUUGUGAAUUGUAAAAUGACAAUGAAUGAACUGUUUUCUUUUCUAUAUCUUUUUUCUUCUUUCUUCCUAAUAUAUUUAAUUAGUUUCAAUCAAAUUAAACCUUUUUAUUCUAAUUAUAAAAGAUUGGUAAAAUUAUAAAAUGAGAUAUUAAUUAUUAUUUUAUUUAUAAUUUUUAUCACUUUAUUAUCAUUUAAAUGCCGACUCCCCUUUACUUGUCCCUCUUUUAGAGGAAAAACUAUACCUAUACUAGGAGAACCUAGUAAUCUAAUUGGGACAAUGGUUGUUAAUAUGUAGAUAAAGGAAAGAUUAGGUUGGCCUGAAUCAUCAUGUGUUACGCAACAGUUGCAGGGAUAAGCUCAAUCUUUCUUAAAUCAAUCAAAGCAUGAUAUGCACAGUAGAUUAUUUAUUAUUAGUCAUUAGAAAUAUUGCUAAUAAUAUUUGACAAGAUACUCCAAAUUUCAAAUCACUGAUGAAGCCUACUACUACUAGCGUGUCGUUUCUAGAUGUUUGGAGGGGGAAAAAAGAGGCUAAAAAAGAUAGGCAAAGGACUCUCUGUGCAUAUAACAAGUUACAAGACAAUCUAAUAAUUACAACUUACGAAUUUGUCAAAAAUUACAACUAUUUUUUACUAUGCAAAUUAAUAAGGAUGGAGAAAGAGGAAUAAAGUUUGGAACCGAAAAGAGUGGAUUGAAGCCAUGGGGAACGGUUGGUGGUGGUAGUAUCAAGCCACCACCAGUUUGAAGGUUGUUUCUUAGUCAUUUCAUCCAUCACCUUCUUCACUCUUCUCUUGUUACUUCUUAACAACAAUAACAAACAUAAAUAUGAUGGCAAAACAACAAAGAAGAACCUCGGUUUUCCUAAAAAAAAAAGUGAUACACAAGCAUAACCAUAUGGGGACUGGAGACUUCUAUGAUAUGGAUAGUAAAAACAAUCCACACAUAUGGAUAGUAUGUGUCAAGACUAUCAACUAUAGUUUUGCAACACGUGGCAUUAGUGUCUUUUGACUUUUAGACCUUUUGCAGAAAGGAGGUGCAGUAACGUAGAGGGUGGCAGUUGAUGUACAGAAUGUAUUGCACAAUAGAGUUGAUUUAAAGUGGGAUUAAGUCUAAUGAUUUUUGUGUUUUUUUUAUUGGUUCACCGUAAGUGCUCCCUUCUUUUGUGGAUUCAGACCUAAUGGUAGAAAAUGCUUGAUUUUGGGCAUGGAUUGAGAUUUUUUUUUUUUUGUGGUUUUGUGAAAAAUUGUUAUCUUCUAUUUGAUCUCAGGAACAUGUAGCUACUUUUCAUGACCAUGACGAUGCCGAAUUGCCAAAUCGCUUUCUUCAGUUGGCUACCUCAAACCUUUCGCAGGUGUGUUAAUUUUCUAUAUCAUGUUCUGUUAAUAUUUUUAGAAUAUUGGAUCGGAUUAGUUUAAGGUCUGAUUUAUCAGUUUUUUGGUCGAAUGUUCAGUCCAAUUUUAAUAAUUAUGGUCUAAGAUAUGUCACCACAAAUCUACAAGUUUAAAUAAUUUUUGGUAUUCAUACCAUAGUCACUCCCUAAAAAAUAUUAAAUAUUUUUAGUGAAAAAAUAUUAAUUUGUUUUGCAAAUAUCAAAGAGAAUAGUAAUCGUCCGUUACUUUCUAAAUACUAUAAUAACAUUUUUAAUUUCUUUUUUCAAUUUUGGUUUUAAUUUGUUAUUGCUUUCCUGUAUUUUAAGUUAAUUAGUUUGGUCAUAUUUAUUUGAAAGUACCAAAAAUAUGAAUAAGAACUAAAACUCUUAUAUUUUUUGUUUCAUUUGAUUUUAGCAUCGAGUACUUGAUUCAUUUCCCGAGAUAAAUCCCUCUCUCUAGAUCCAAUAUCUCAACUUCUCUAGAGGUGUGUUAAUCUUUUGUAAUAUAUUAUAACUUCAUAAAUAUUAUAGUAUAGAUAAAUAUAAAUUUAUCAAAUGAUAAGAAAUGAUAUCAUGUUCUGUUAACACUUUAAGAAUCUUGGACCUAAUUAAUUUAGAAUUUGAUUCACCGAUUUUUUAAUCGAACCGGUCGAUACGGUAUAGUUUUAAUAACUAUGUUCUAUGCCAGUGCCACUACAUAGUUUUUUUCCUUUCUAAAUACUAAGGAGUAUUAUGUUUUUAUUUUCUAUUUUAGUUUUAAUUUGUUAUUGCUUUUCUAAGUCAUGUUCUUUAAAAAUUCUAAUAUUUUCAAUUUUAUUCUUAACGUUUUUAAUUUGUGUCAAAAUUACCUAGACGUUAACUUGACGUAAAUUGUUAAGGAUAAAAUUAAAAAUUUUUAAUGAUAGUUUUGACACAAAUCGAAAAUAUUAUAGGCAAAAUUGAAUGAAUAAAAAAUGCUAGAUACAAAAUUGAAUAAAAUUUUAUGUUUGGAGUAUUUUUUUAAAAAGAUUGUAAAUAUUAAAGACAAAAAAUAUAUUUUAUCCUUAAAAAUUAAUAGUUCAAAAUAAAAGAUUAAUAAACACAUAGUUAACAUAUUUUUUUAGAUAUAAUUAAGAUAUGACUCUUUUUAACAUUACUAUUUACAUAUUUCUAAUUUAUUUGUUAUAAAAAAUUAUUAUUUAAUUACUAAUUAUUUGUUAACUCUAUUUAAUUUCAGGGACAUGAUGACAAUGACUCACCCUUAUCUCCUAUCCCUCCUUUUAUUAGGGUGAAAAAGAAAUGUACUGGGUUACCUUUACUAGGUCUUUUAUUUUGUUUUUUGUUUGGGAUUUUAGUUUACAUGAUCGGAAAGUUUAAGGAUAAGUCUAAUAAGGGUAAUUCUAUAAAGAAGUUUGUGGUAAUUGUGAAUGCCAUCUAUUUUAUAGUAGUUACUCUAAGUACAAUAGGAUAUGAGAAUAUUACCCCUAAUUCUAAAUCUAGUAAAAUCAAAACUAUGGUUUUAGCUCUUUUGUGUCCUGUGGUUUCUAAUAUUCUUGAAAGCUACCUGAAAUACAUUCUUAGAAAAUUAGAAACGUGCUUAGUUAAAAAGUUAGAAGGAGGCAUGUUAGAUUGUUUGGUAGUUAACCAUAAAAUAGUUUAUUGGGCAAAAUUUUUCUUAGCGGUUCUUGCUGGCCCGUUUGUCUUUAGCAUCGGAGCAGUCAUAGUCCAUCGUUCAGAGCGAAUGAGUUGGUUAGAUAGUUUUUACUUUUCUGUGAUUUCCAUAACAACAGUAGGUUUUGGGGAUUACUCUUUUAGAACGCUAGUAGGAAAGUGUGUUGCAUGUAUUUGGUUUUUAUUUAGUUCUGUUGUUUAUAGUUUUGCAAUUUUUUUCUGAUUAUUUGUAUUCUUAGGCCAAUUACUCCUCAAAACGAAUGAAUUGUAUUUUGUGAAUUGUAAAAUGACAAUGAAUGAACUGUUUUCUUUUCUAUAUCUUUUUUCUUCUUUCUUCCUAAUAUAUUUAAUUAGUUUCAAUCAAAUUAAACCUUUUUAUUCUAAUUAUAAAAAAUUGGUAAAAUUAUAAAAUGAGAUAUUAAUUAUUAUUUUAUUUAUAAUUUUUAUCACUUUAUUAUCAUUUAAAUGCCGACUCCCCUUUACUUGUCCCUCUUUUAGAGGAAAAACUAUACCUAUACUAGGAGAACCUAGUAAUCUAAUUGGGACAAUGGUUGUUAAUAUGUAGAUAAAAGAAAGAUUAGGUUGGCCUGAAUCAUCAUGUGUUACGCCACAGUUGCAGGGAUAAGCUCAAUCUUUCUUAAAUCAAUCAAAGCAUGAUAUGCACAGUAGAUUAUUUAUUAUUAGUCAUUAGAAAUAUUGCUAAUAAUAUUUGACAAGAUACUCCAAAUUUCAAAUCACUGAUAAAGCCUACUACUACUAGUGUGUCGUUUCUAGAUGUUUGGAGGGGGAAAAAAGAGGCUAAAAAAAGAUAGGCAAAGGACUCUCUGUGCAUAUAACAAGUUACAAGACAAUCUAAUAAUUACAACUUACGAAUUUGUCAAAAAUUGUAACUAUUUUUUACUAUGCAAAUUAAUAAGGAUGGAGAAAGAGGAAUAAAGUUUGGAACCGAAAAGAGUGGAUUGAAGCCAUGGGGAACGGUUGGUGGUGGUAGUAUCAAGCCACCACCAGUUUGAAGGUUGUUUCUUAGUCAUUUCAUCCAUCACCUUCUUCACUCUUCUCUUGUUACUUCUCAACAACAAUAACAAACAUAAAUAUGAUGGCAAAACAACAAAGAAGAACCUCGG
rnacentral:lncRNA from 1 species